CCAACACAGGAGCAGUGCAAGCCCUGGGAAAAGUGAGAGAAAAACUGCACCUCAGAUGGGCACUGGGAAGGUGGGGUGAUAUCAGCAGCCACGCAGCACUUUCCAGAGGAGCCUGUAACCUGGACGGCCCACAGGCACCAGCUGAGCCCCGCGCUCCCUGAGGAGGAAGGGACCGGACUCCUACCCGCGCGUCGCCCUGGAUUUCAUUUGUGCAUCGCGGCCCCAACCAACCACUCCUCCCCCCGGGAUUUAAGCCGCUAAAAACCACGCGCCAGACAACGUCCAGCGACACCGAUACAAAGGGACCGUGACACGGUGAAGAACCGCCUCCCGCAAUGGCCUCAGGCCGUUCAACGCUCCCAGCCAGUCUCCCCCGCUAUCACUCGGACCCAACGGCUGCCCGCCACAGCCCUCCCCGGCCCGGUGGGGGAUCCCGCCCGGGCACGCGCCGCCUGAAGCACGGGGCAGACAGGAGGGGACACGAGGCGGCCAGCACCGGCAGGCAGAGUGACAGCCGCCGCCGCCGCCACACGCCCCCACCCCCGGCGGCUGCAGCCCAGGCCGAGCCUGGAGCGGGAGAGGAGCCGCCGCUGCAUCCCCAGCGGCAGCCGCCGCCCUCAGACUGGCUGCGCGGGGACCUACCCGCAGGGGCGGGGCUGGUCCCCCCAACGCACAUACCCAGAGGCGGCGGUGGCCCCGCGCCCCCAGCGGACAACCCAUCCCUAGAGCCGGGUUCCUCCCGGCGCUCCCCGGCCCGCUCAGUGACAGUGGGUCUCUCCCCAGCCCAGGACGGAAUGUGACGUGCGUCUUGCCGAGGGGCCGGUAACGGCCGGGGGAAGGGGCUGUUGGGGCCGUGCGCGCCGGGGCCCCUCCCUCGCCUGGCCGGCCCCAGACUCACUGCGCAGGUUGUGGAUGAGCUCGGAGUGGCUGGAGCCUCCCGACUUCCAGGCCAUCGCUAGACACACUCUGCGGAGCAGAUGGAUACACUGCCACUUACUACCCUCUGCCUUUCCUCCACAAAACCCUUGGACACAGAUUAUUUAAAUGAAGACCAAAUUUUCAUGAAGGAAAGAAGAAAGAAAAUAACCAUAAAUACAGAAAAAAUAACAAUUUUAUUUUUGACUCCAUGGAUUUAGCAGGAAUGAGAUUAGGGUUUCUAACUUUCCAGGAUUGUCCUGGAGUUACCAAGAAUUAAAGUUUAAUCUUUAAUUAAAGAUUUUGUCAUGAUGAACCUCCAAAAGUACCUCCAAUCAAAAUUGGCAACCCUAAAUGAGAUAUUAACAAUAAAACAGUUUGUGUACUCCAGA